rnacentral:pre_miRNA from 1 species
GUUAAGGGGAUUGUUGUCUGGCUCGGGGUCUCCGGUCGAGAUCGAUUGAUACCUUCUGGCCUGCCCUUGCCGGAGCUGUCGACCGGAGAUUUCGGACCAGGCUUCAAUCCCUUUAAC